AACGAACGCUGGCGGCAGGCCUAAAACAUGCAAGUCGAACGAACCUUCGGGUUAGUGGCGCACGGGUGCGUAACGCGUGGGAAUAUGCCUCUUGGUGCGGAACAACGUCUGGAAACGGACGCUAAUACCGCAUAAUAUCUACGGAUCAAAGAUUUAUCGCCAAGAGAUUAGCCCGCGUCUGAUUAGCUAGUUGGUGAGGUAAUGACUCACCAAGGCGACGAUCAGUAGCUGGUCUGAGAGGAUGAUAAGCCACACUGGAACUGAGAACAGGUCCAGACUCCUACGGGAGGCAGCAGUUGGGAAUAUUGGAAAAGGGGGGAAACCCUGAUCCAGCCAUGCCGCGUGUGUGAAGAAGGCCUUAGGGUUGUAAAGCACUUUCGGCUGUGAAGAUAAUGACAGUAGCAGAAGAAGAAGCUCCGGCUAAAUUCGUGCCAGCAGCCGCCGUAA
rnacentral:rRNA from 1 species